rnacentral:rRNA from 1 species
UACGAAGGGGGCUAGCGUUGCUCGGAAUCACUGGGCGUAAAGGGUGCGUAGGCGGGUCUUUAAGUCAGGGGUGAAAUCCUGGAGCUCAACUCCAGAACUGCCUUUGAUACUGAAGAUCUUGAGUUCGGGAGAGGUGAGUGGAACUGCGAGUGUAGAGGUGAAAUUCGUAGAUAUUCGCAAGAACACCAGUGGCGAAGGCGGCCUGCUGGGCUAUUGCUGACACUGAGGCGCGACAGCGUGGGGAGCAAACAGG